rnacentral:rRNA from 1 species
CCCAAACCCAAUGUGAACGUUACCAAACUGUUGCCUCGGCGGGAUCUCUGCCCCGGGUGCGUCGCAGCCCCGGACCAAGGCGCCCGCCGGAGGACCAACCAAAAACUCUUUUGUAUACCCCCUCGCGGGUUUUUUAUAUCUGAGCCAUCUCGGCGCCUCUCGUAGGCGUUUCGAAAAUGAAUCAAAACUUUCAACAACGGAUCUCUUGGUUCUGGCAUCGAUGAAGAACGCAGCGAAAUGCGAUAAGUAAUGUGAAUUGCAGAAUUCAGUGAAUCAUCGAAUCUUUGAACGCACAUUGCGCCCGCCAGUAUUCUGGCGGGCAUGCCUGUCCGAGCGUCAUUUCAACCCUCGAACCCCUCCGGGGGGUCGGCGUUGGGGAUCGGCCCUUUACGGGGCCGGCCCCGAAAUACAGUGGCGGUCUCGCCGCAGCCUCUCCUGCGCAGUAGUUUGCACACUCGCAUCGGGAGCGCGGCGCGUCCAUUGCCGUAAAACACCCAACUUUCUGAAAUGUUGACCUCGGAUCAGGUAGGAAUACCCGCUGAACUUAAGCAUAUCAAUA